rnacentral:rRNA from 1 species
AUUGAACGCUGGCGGCGUGCCUAACACAUGCGAGUCGAGCGGUGGAAGGGGGCUUGCGCCUUGAUUCAGCGGCUUACGGGUGGGUAAUUCAUAGGAAUGUGCCUUGUCGUGUAGGAGAGCGUCACUAAUCGGGCGCUAAUAUCGUAUACCACCUGAGUGGGAGAGUGGGGGAACUUCUUACAUCACGCUAUCAGCUCAUCCUAGGUCGGAUUAGCUAGUAGGUGAGGUAAUGGCUUACCAAGGCGACGAUACAUAACUGGCCUGAGAGGAUGAUCAGCCACACUGGGACUGAGACACGGCCCAGACUCCUACGGGAGGCAGCAGUAGGGAAUCUUCGACAAUGGGGGCAAGCCUGACCGAGCAACGCCGCGUGAGUGAAGAAGGUUUUCGGAUCGUAAAGCACUGUUAUAUGGGAAGAACGGCUGUAAGUUAAUAAAUUUCUGUCUUGAACUUUAGCAUAGAAGAAACACCGGCCAACUUACGG